rnacentral:lncRNA from 1 species
CUCAAAAUAAAAUCGGAUUACUAUUCAUUUAAGUGAAUAGUAACAGUCACCAUACACCUUUAAAUAUAAACUAGUCUUUCACCGAUAUUAAACCAAUAAAUUCCAACAUUAAAAUAUAUGUACAACACUACUGAAAAGUACCAAAUUACAUUAUAAAAAUCUCAGUCCUCUUAUCAUCCCCUUCUUAUAAAAUUUCGUCAGCGAAACUUGACUACAGCCACCGUAAUCAAAUUUGGAUACCGUUCCACUAUUG